GAAAUGCGAUAAGUAAUGUGAAUUGCAGAAUUCCGUGAAUCAUCGAAUCUUUGAACGCACAUUGCGCCCUCUGGCAUUCCGGGGGGCAUGCCUGUCCGAGCGUCAUUACGCACCCUCAAGCCCGGCUGGUGUGAUGGGCCCUGGCGUCUCGUUCGCGAGACGGGCCCGAAAGGCAGCGGCGGCGUCGACCCGAUGAACCCGAGCGUAUGGGGACUUUUGUCACACGUUUGCGGUGCGGACCGGCGCCUGCUUGACUUUUCUGAUUAUCCAGGUUGACCUCGGAUCAGGUAGGGAUACCCGCUGAACUUAAGC
rnacentral:misc_RNA from 1 species